rnacentral:rRNA from 1 species
CCUACGGGAGGCAGCAGCAGGGAAUUUUGGUCAAUGGGCGAAAGCCUGAACCAGCAACGCCGCGUGGGGGAUGAAGGCUCUUGGGUCGUAAACCCUUUCCAAAGAAGGAAGAUAAUGACGGUACCCGGCGAAUAAGCCACGGCUAACUACGUGCCAGCAGCCGCGGUAAU